UUCAAGCAUGACAAGCAAAGAGUAACAUCACUGCAUCCCUCCAUUAGUCCCAGGUCUCUGUGUAGAAAAGCCUGAUGGUCUUAAACGAGAGAGAGAGAAGCUCACGGAACAUCGCUCAAGCAUGUGGAUGCAGACUGAAACGUAUACCGGUUGACCAGCAUGUGGCUCGUAGUUGCUGUGUCUCCAGGACAAAUGGAUGGAAGACCUGCCCCCCAGCAGUCACCUGACCCAGUCAUCUACCCACAAAAGCAGCUUCUCCUUUACAAUCAGCCUCAACACAUAUUGUGUUCUCCGUGUAUGUACCUGGACUAAUUACCAAUGUGUCAUCCUAUUACUUUUGAAUUGUUUGCCUGGUCAGACUCCUUUCUUGUUGCUCACUGCUGCCUCGUAGCGCUAGUGAACACUGUUUAUCACACCUGCUCUGCCUCCUGGGUAGCAGAUCUGUGAUCCAUUGUUGCAACGCUGUAACAUGAGAUGUCCACCCUACGUCCUACUGCAACUGAGGCAUGCUAAGGUGCAAACACAACAGUUUGAAACAGUUUCGAUCCGGCUAAGUGACUAAUGCUUGAUCUAAUAUCAGUCAUUCAGUUGUUUUUGGUUGUAUUUUUACUUCACAGCAGCAAGAACACAACAGGAAAAGCUUUUCUUGGGAACAGAUUCAACAACAGAACACAUUUCCUCUGCCCUGUUUCUUUUGGCUGAUUAAUUGCAGCUCAGAUAAAAUUGACUUAGAGAUACCUUAGAGAUGCCUCACAUUGAAAUGCAACCAGAGCACUGCCACCAUGGCUGGGUAUA